rnacentral:lncRNA from 10 species
ACAAGAUCCAAAUCAAUGUCCUUCCGGGAGAAUUUCUUAAAAUCUUGUUUUCUCUCGUUGUCUUCGGAAGAAGCCCGACAUUUCUUAUAGGAAAUGGAACUCUUCAUAAGGUUCAUCUCAAAGAUCUCUCUUUGCAUAAUGUGUGUGUGGACCUGCCUACAGAUACAUUGGGUGGAAGCCCUAGGAGCCUCAAGCAAGUCUGAAGAUUGGCCCUGAGAACCACUGUUCUCAUUAUCAGCAAGGAUUUUAUCCAGAGACCUCUAGGAAUACAUUCACUAAAAUGUGACUGUGGUCCUGUGGUUGUAUGAACUCUGGCUCUUCUCGUGAAUUACAUUUCACUGGAGUCAGGUGUUUUCUGUAAACAUCGUUAAACCACGAGACCAACUGCAUUGAACAUUUUUUGCACUACAUUGUUUUAUUUCUUGCUCGUCUUUUCCUUGCAGAGCUGGGGCUGGGGUGA